CACGUAGGGCGCAAGCGUUGUCCGGAAUUAUUGGGCGUAAAGAGCUCGUAGGCGGUCUGUUGCGUCCGCUGUGAAAACCCGCGGCUUAACCGUGGGCUUGCGGUCGAUACGGGCGGGCUGGAGUUCGGUAGGGGAGACUGGAAUUCCUGGUGUAGCGGUGAAAUGCGCAGAUAUCAGGAGGAACACCGGUGGCGAAGGCGGGUCUCUGGGCCGAUACUGACGCUGAGGAGCGAAAGCGUGGGGAGCGAACAGG
rnacentral:rRNA from 1 species